UUUACCGCCAGUUACCAUUACAUUGAGUUGCCCCUCGAUGCCAACAAAUAAAUAAUUUCUCCAGCAACACUUUUGUUGGAUUUUUAGGAUGCAUAGCAACCAUCUUCUGUUUACAACGAUAUCAACAGAAAUUUUCUCACUAAAAAAAAUAUUUUGUGGAAUUGCGUGGUGAAAAUGUGGAUUAUGCUUUCUGUAUCAAAUUCGCAUAUUCUAAUGCUGGAUGUGUUUGAACGAUAUACCAAGUAUGAAAUACACUUUCUUCUGCUCGUCCAAUGGAUCACCCGCUAAGGGAUAGUACUGGAAGUAGGAAGGAUAACAUUUGAGCCAAAAAUUGUGAUUUACCCGACUAUGAUCAACAAGUGCAAGUUGGAACGCAUCAGGUUGUUCGAUUUUGACGCUAUGACUUUCCGGAUCAUCACCCGAUCGAACUAACGAUUUCUUCGGAUGACGAUAACGAUAAGAACAGAAAGUUGGUUCUGCAGUGACUGAUGAUACCAGUUUUCUGGGGAACACGGUUUGAAGCUGCUACAUAUCGGCUUACAUCCAGCAACAGAACAUCCUGCAGCUAAUGGCUGGCCGAAGCGACUUAACACUGACCUCGAGUCGCCCGAACUCACGCUAAAUCCAGUGCAAUGUUGUGGGUCUGAGUAUUUUGUCGUAUUGGUUAGGAUGCAAAGCAAUAUGUUGAGGCUGGAAAGUCCUGGUUCCAACUAUCAACCGACAAUAUGCACAUUACACGAACGUACACAGAUUCAAAGCUAGAUUAGUGUAGCAAACUUCAUUUCAGAUAGAAUUAAUGCAAAUUCCAGUUUAUUCAAAAGCUGUGAUAAUAAAAAACAAUUGGAACAAAUUUCAAAAUGUCUACCAUGUUUCGAUUGAAUAUAAAUCUAGCAUAUAGAUAUUUUUGAGUUAUUUUGGUGCUUUAAUGUUAGAAAAAUGUAGACCAAUUCUAGACAAACAUGUGGACAUAGGCCCUAAGUGCAAAUGAGAGUCUCUCCUCGUUUACUUUCUCUUCCGUUAAUAACUCGGCCGCCUUUACGUUUGUUCCUUAACUCUUAGCAUAAUAUCCCAGACGGCAUCAGCCUUGCGAUAUUUUGUGAAACAAUGUUGGAAUGUUUUGUGAUGAUGCCAUAGUGUAACCAAUCUUAUUUCAACCCUACAUAUUUUGAACCCUGAAAAAACUGAAGAAAAAAAGAAAGUAGAGGAAGAGAAACAAAGAAAAAGCAGAGCAUAGAAACAAUAACAAGAAACCAACUCGCAAACAAAAAAAUUAAAAAAUAAUAUUUAGUACAAGAAGAUUCCUGGCGAACUUUGAACCUUGAUUUAUCAUCCUCUUGAGGAUGUUACUCCAUAUUACUAUUACAGGUGAAUAUUGUUACACGAAAUAGAUUAUUGUUAAUUCUACUGCAUAUUUAAUGCUUCUUUGUUAAGUCUUUCUAUUUCCCAAAAUGAUAGAACUAAAAAAAAAAAUACUUCAUGCAGUCAUAUAAAGAAUAAUCUACCAUUUAUGUCAAGGAAUAAUUCAUUGACAGUUUUCUUUCAAAAACAGUAAUUUUGGAGCAACCUCGUGAAUGUAUUGCAUUAAAAAACAUAGGCAAGUAAAUAAUUUUGGACGUUAAUGUAAUUUGACUUUCUUUAGGGUUCCAAAAUUGGUUACCGUAAAAAUCGAAAGAUAAAGUAAGCUCAGACCCUUAGGCCCUUUUCACAUGUUUAUCUAAAAUUAUAUUCAUAAUGAAUCAUUAAAAAUAG